UGAAAUUUAGGUUAACAGAAACUAGAGACCUUCAAAGUCUCUGAUAGGAGCCACCUCCUAAUUUCAG
rnacentral:tRNA from 1 species